AUGGUGUUCUUCGACGUGGAGACGGCGGCGGCGCCGUCCCCCUCCGACUCGUCCGGCCAGUGGUGGCUGCUGGAGUUCGGGGCCAUCCUCGUCUGCCCGCGCCGCCUCGUCGAGCUCGCCAGCUACUCCACCCUCAUCCGCCCGGGCGACCCCUCCGCCGUCUCCAGGCGCUUCUCGGGCGACCCCUCCCUCUCCGCCGCGUUCCGCGCCGCGCCGCCCUUCGCCGACGUGGCCGACGACAUCUUCGCGCUCCUCGACGGCCGCGUCUGGGCGGGCCACAACAUCCGGCGCUUCGACUGCCACCGCGUCCGGGAGGCCUUCGCGGCGGCCGGCCGAGCCGCGCCGGAGCCCGUGGCCGUCGUCGACUCGCUCAGCGUGCUCGCCCGGGGGUUCGGCCGCCGCGCCGGGGACCUCAAGAUGGCCACCCUGGCGGCGUAUUUUGGGAUCGGGAAGCAGACGCAUCGCAGCCUUGAUGACGUGCGCAUGAACCUCGAGGUGCUCAAGCACUGCGCCGCCGUGCUCAUGCUCGAGUCCAACCUCCCCGCCGGCGUGCUCCCUGGCGCCGACGACGGCGCAGUCACCAGGCGCAGGGCCGCCACGUCUUCCACCACGGCGCCCGCGACUCCUCCUCGUCCUCCUCCUGCCGCCGCGGUUCUGAAGGUGAACGGGAGGUCGUGCAAGAGGGACAGCACGGGGAAGGUGGUGACGCCGGCGAAGGGGGCAGCGACGGCUACCUCUACCGGCGGCCGGAGAGUGCGCCGGCCAAUGACGACGACGCCGUUCAGCAUGAUCCUCCGGCACUCGAGGGCCAUCGUCAGAUGA
rnacentral:rRNA from 1 species